rnacentral:lncRNA from 1 species
GAAAAAACUAGAAGAAAGUUCUCAAUAUUCUUGGUUUGUUUCAUGUUUGAACACAUUGCCAACUUUGUUCUACACAAGAUCAAAGUCACUCAAUUAUGGUGUUUUUAGCUUUUUUUCUAAAAUUGAGUCUAUUGAAAUCCUUAAAACACUUAUCUCGAUAGGUUUUUUAAAAACUUUUUAUCUUACCGUUAUACCCAGUGCAAUUUGUUUCUUAUAUGAUGUGCUCUGACUUGCAAAUUUUUAAAAAAAUUGCCAGCAUUCUAUGAGUCCAUUUAUAAGGAUUUCUUUAUAAGUGUGCCGAGGACACAAAUUUUACUGUGCCAUGUAAAACUUGUUGUCUUGUUUUGAUAGUUGUUUCUUAUGAAAGGCUACCAAGAAGGUAAUGAGAGCGAGGGAUUUGAUAUAAAAAAUUUAUCAUAUGACUGACUAAGAAGAUGAAUCCAGUUUUGUUAUCAUAUUUGUGAACCAAGGAUCAAAAUCUCCAAAGCAAUAAUUUAUAUCAUCAGCGAAAGAAGAUUUUUUGUUCAAUAGUAAUUGAACGAGAUAUCUUCAAUGAAGAACAAUACUUCAACAAGUAAUAUAUUAUUUAUGCAUAACAUUUUAGAAUCUUCAACUACUCAAAAUAGUCUAUUUGACUAAGGAGGAAGUAUUAGUGCAAAAAAUGCACAAGUCACUUUUGCAGUUG